CUCAGUUGCAGCAACUAAAUCAGUGAAAGAGGAAACAGGACUUAUAAACAACUCAACUUACACAAUCAAUUUCUUCAACUCUCACACAUAUCUUUAUUCUCUGUUUUAUUGUCGUACAUGAAGGUCGAGGAACACGAACCUUUAUUAAUGAUGUCCCUCAAAAUAGAACCCCAACUUUGUCUGAUGUUUCUCCUAACGAUCUCAGCAGUUUUGCAGAAGUUCACCUCUGAAUGGCUGAAUGGCUGAACAAAAAGACUUUGGAGUGGCCUAGUCAAAGUCCUGACCUGAAUCCUAUUGAGAUGCUGUGGCACGACCUGAAAAAUACGGUUUAUGCUCGAAAACCCUAGUUCCCCGAGGGAACGAGACGCUGCGUUGUAACGCUUUGGGAACGC